rnacentral:tRNA from 1 species
UAGAUUGAAGCCAGUUGUAUAGGGUUUUUAGCUGUUAACUAAAGUUUCGUGGGAUCAAAGCCCACCGAUCUAG